CAGAGAACAUCGCCCGCGAGGGUGACUCUCCAACCCUAUGUUGAUUAUACCUUUGUUGCUUUGGCGAGCCGCUCCGGCCACCGGCUUCUAGCUGGUGAGUGCUCGCCAGAGGACCCUAAACUCUGUUUAUACAUGUCGUCUGAGUACUAUAUAAUAGUUAAAACUUUCAACAACGGAUCUCUUGGUUCUGGCAUCGAUGAAGAACGCAGCGAAAUGCGAUAAGUAAUGUGAAUUGCAGAAUUCAGUGAAUCAUCGAAUCUUUGAACGCACAUUGCGCCCUGUGGUAUUCCGCAGGGCAUGCCUGUUCGAGCGUCAGUACAACACUCAAGCCUAGCUUGGUCUUGGGCCCCGCCGGAGACGGCGGGCCUUAAAAUCAGUGGCGGCGCCUCUCGGGCCCUAAGCGUAGUAAUACUCCUCGCUACAGGGACCCGGUAGACGCUGGCCAGCAACCCCCAACUUUCUAAG
rnacentral:misc_RNA from 1 species